AAAAAAAAAAUACUCAUUAGCUAACAAUGUGGUUUUCAAGGCACAUCAAAUUUCUUUACUUUUCUCGUAAAAGGCCAUUGCAAUGGCUAAUUGUACACAAAUUGUAAAAUAAAAUAAACUGACAGGUCUCUAGUGCUAUCCUUUUCCACACAAAGCAUUAUGAAAGGGACAAUAAUAUACAGAAUGUAAUUAGAAAGCAAGAAAAACGAGGACAGGUGACAGUACUGAUGAGAUAAAAAAACACCACAAAAAGAAAACAAAAUAAAGAACUCAUUUCUUAAAAGUUAAGUAUUUUUUAAAAGUUCACAAUGCAUUGCAAAUAAAACAUCUGACUGACGCUAGAGGACAACGAUCUUAGCAUAGAUAGGUGCCACAGGAGUUAUGCACGCUACAAAUUUAAACGAUAGGCUCAGACUGGCAGAUAAAGUCACGAGAUUUGACAGUUUUAGACCAAAUAAGAUUCGUCUGUCCUUUUCUUAUUACAUUGAUAAGAAAACGAUGCGAAUACUCUAUAGUUGCGUUCAG